UACGUAGGUCCCGAGCGUUGUCCGGAUUUAUUGGGCGUAAAGCGAGCGCAGGUGGUUUAAUAAGUCUGAUGUAAAAGGCAGUGGCUCAACCAUUGUGUGCAUUGGAAACUGUUAGACUUGAGUGCAGUAGAGGAGAGUGGAAUUCCAUGUGUAGCGGUGAAAUGCGUAGAUAUAUGGAGGAACACCGGUGGCGAAAGCGGCUCUCUGGACUGUAACUGACGCUCAUGCACGAAAGCGUGGGGAGCAAACAGG
rnacentral:rRNA from 1 species